rnacentral:rRNA from 1 species
AUUGUACGCUGGCGGCAGGCCUAACACAUGCAAGUCGAACGAGUGGCGGACGGGUGAGUAAUGUCUGGGAAACUGCCUGAUGGAGGGGGAUAACUACUGGAAAAGGUAGCUAAUACCGCAUACCAUCAGAUGUGCCCAGAUGGGAUUAGCUUGUUGGUGGGGUACCGGCUCACCAAGGCGACGAUCCCUAGCUGGUCUGAGAGGAUGACCAGCCACACUGUAACUGAGGCACGGUCCAGACGCCUACGGGAGGCAGCAGUGGGGAAUAUGGAACAAUGGGCGCAAGCCUGAUGCAGCCAUGCCGGGUGUAUGAAGAAGGCCUUCGGGUUGUAAAGUACUUUCAGCGGGGAGGAGUUACCCGCAGAAGAAGCACCGGCUAACUCGGUGCCAGCGGCCGCGGUAAUAC